rnacentral:lncRNA from 1 species
ACAUUUCCAUGCAUAUGUUCAUUAUCCUUCUGCUCAGCUUUUGGCACUUGCUUGUGUGCGAAUGCGAUACAUCUCAGGCUGCUGGCAGCCAUUCCUUCAAUUAUCCUGUCACAUUCUUCCUUAUCUGAUUCCUCUAGAGGUUUUACGUUCCCUUCUAGAUCAUAGUAAUGGGAGCACAUUCUUGAAAUCAUUUCAGCAGCACCUUUCCAAUGUGCAUGAAUUGUGCCAUCACUGUUGUUCUUGAUCAGGACACCACUCUUCUUUUUCUCUGAAUUGAAAGCUUCCACAUGUAGAAUGUUGAAAUUUCUUUUGAUUUGAUCCAUCUCCAUAUUCAAUUCCGUAACAGCCCAUGAAAGAAUAGCUUUUUCAGUAGGGCUGCCUGAGAACUCAAAGUUGGAAGAUGGAUCGGAGGACUUGAAAACACUACCUGUAGUGUUUAAUCCAACCCCUUGAUGGAAUAGUUCAAGAACUUUUGCCGAAAUUGAUGUAUGAAUUUCUGCCAUGGCUUUUGCAGUGAAAACAUUGUCUCCAGUGAUCAUCUUGAUCUUCACACCAGCAUUCUGGCAAUCUUCCACAGCUUUCUUCAUGCCAGGUCGACAUGGAUCUUUUAGGCCAAGAAAGCCCAAAAGAAUUAUAGAGUUGUCUGGAACAUUUCCAUGCAUAUGUUCAUGAUCCUCCUGCUCAGCUUUUGGCACUUGCUUGUGUGCGAAUGCAAUACAUCGGAGGCUGCUGGCAGCCAUUCCUUCAAUUAUCCUAUCACAUUCUUCCUUAUCUGAUUCCUCGAGAGGUUUUACGUUCCCUUCUAGAUCAUAGUAAUGGGAGCACAUUCUUGAAAUCAUUUCAGCAGCACCUUUCCAAUGUGCAUGAAUUGUGCCAUCACUG